rfam:Alligator mississippiensis ScZkoYb_15, whole genome shotgun sequence.
GCCCCAGUGGCCUAAUGGAUAAGGUAUUGGCCUUUUAAGACAGGGAUUAUGGGUUCAAGUUCCCUCUGGAGUG